GUCUACGGCCAUGCUACCCUGAACAAGCCCGAUCCCGUCUGAUCUUGGAAGCUAAGCAGGAUCGGGACUAGUUAGUACUUGGAUGGGAGACCACCCAGGAAGACCAGGUGCUGUCGGCA
rnacentral:rRNA from 1 species